AUUGAACGCUGGCUGCAGGCCUAACACAUGCAAGUCGAGCGAGCGGCGGACGGGUGAGUAAUGUCUGGUAAACUGCCUGAUGGAGGGGGAUAACUACUGGAAACGGUAGCUAAUACCGCAUACCAUCAGAUGUGCCCAGAUUGGAUUAGCUAGUGGGUGGGGUAACGGCUCACCUAGGCGACCAGCCCUAGCUGGUCUGAGAGGAUGACCAGCCACACUGGAACUGGUACACGGUCCAGACUCGUACGGGGGGCAUGAGUGGGGAAUAUUGCACAAUGGGCGCAAGCCUGAUGCAGCCAUGCAGCGUGUGUGAAGAAGGCCUUCGGGUUGUAAAGCACUUUCAGCGGGGAGGCGUUACCCGCAGAAGAAGCACCGGCUAACUCCGUGCCAGCCGCCGCGGUAAUUC
rnacentral:rRNA from 1 species